rnacentral:tRNA from 1 species
UAGCUCAGUUGGUAGAGCGCUUGCCUCACAUGCACAAGGCCCUGGGUUCAAUCCCCAG